rnacentral:rRNA from 1 species
UACGUAGGGACCAAGCGUUGUUCGGAUUUACUGGGCGUAAAGGGCGCGUAGGCGGCAUGACAAGUCACUUGUGAAAUCUUCGGGCUUAACCCGGAACGGCCAAGUGAUACUGUCGCGCUAGAGUGCAGAAGGGGCAAUCGGAAUUCUCGGUGUAGCGGUGAAAUGCGUAGAUAUCGAGAGGAACACCGGUGGCGAAGGCGGGUCUCUGGGCCGAUACUGACGCUGAGGAGCGAAAGCGUGGGGAGCGAACAGG